rnacentral:rRNA from 1 species
UACAGAGGUCCCAAGCGUUGUUCGGAUUCAUUGGGCGUAAAGGGUGCGUAGGCGGCGCGGUAAGUCGGGUGUGAAAUCUCCGGGCUCAACCCGGAAACUGCAUUGCGAACUGACCUAGCUGGAGUGCAGGAGAGGGCAGCGGAAUUCCCGGUGUAGCGGUGAAAUGCGUAGAUAUCGGGAAGAACACCAGUGGCGAAGGCGGCUGCCUGGCCUGUAACUGACGCUGAGACGCGAAAGCGUGGGGAGCGAACCGG